UAGUCUAUUUUCUACUGACUUUUUAAUGUCACAACAUCUUCUUUCAUGCUUAACACGUCUGUAUGCUCUCUAUAUGUGAUGAAUUUCCCUCUGAAUGGCUUUCAAAUGUGUGAUUAGUUCAUACUUCCAUCUGAAUAGGAAUGAUCGAUUUUCUUUCCUUGUUUGCUGAUUUUCCUUGUGACUCAACUUAGGUUAAAACCUUUUCAGCUUUUCUAGCUUGGUUCAUUCAUGGACCAGUAAUUACAAAUCUCUGACCCUUUAUUUACUGACUACUGAUUGAUUUUCUUAGCUUGUUUGUGCAACUGUGUAUUUCAAAAUUCUGUCCUUAAGUAACUUUUUAUGUAUUUACCCCUAGUUGCCUACUUUUCACAAAACUUGUUUGAUUUUUUCCUUAAAUAACUUUUACCAUUUGAAUCUAAAUUCUUUAAUUAAAGGAAGCCUUUUGUGAUUGAUUUUCAAUUGAUAUUCAAUUCCUUAACUGUUUUCUUACCUUAUUUAUGCCUAAUUUUCACACUAUAAAGGCACGACUCUUUCACAAACUCAUCACUCAUUCACAAUCCUUCUAAACUAUUACUCACACACAAUAGUAUUCUCCCUUCUUGUCUGCACUGUGGCCUGUUUACAAGACCUAAUGCUUCUCUAUUUGUUUCUUUGAAUCUGGUAUGUCAUGAUUUAAGCUUCAGUACCACAACAAUGUGUUUAUUUACAACUUGUGUAUCUAUGUCUACUUACUGUUUCUAUAGAGUUCAAUAUUUAAAUUAGAAUGCUGAUUUCUUUCUGCCUGUUUCUUCUAUGAAUCCCUACUCCCUACCCCCUUAUGUAUUUAAGCUAUGGUUUAAGACAUGGCAAUAUGUAAGUUAUUGUCUAUGAAUUAAGCUUAAUCCAUGUGAUCACAACCUCUAUACAAUGUGUUCUAACAUGCUUAUGGGUAUGCUAGCACUCCCUAUUGCUGGGUAUGCCCACAACCUACUCUUGCCUCUUGCAAUUUCCCUAUUUCCCUUGUACCCCUAUGUGUAUUUAUUUGCAACUAUUUCCCUUUCCCUUUCCCCCUUUUCUAAUUCUGUUUCUACACUUGCACUCUCUCUUAAUCUUUAAGUUCUGCCCCCCUCUUGUGAGCCUUGCCUUGCGACCUUGAAUUCCCUCUGAACUUGGACACUUGAGGGCUAGCCCUUCGACACUACACUUGUCUUAAUCUGAUAAUGUAUUUGGGGGUAAGCAUUGCCUGGAUUCCUCUUUAAGGCUCUUAGGGAACUUUGACACAUCCAAAUGGGAGAAAGGCUUUGGAUCAUGAUCUUUGGAGUCGGUUUACCUCAUAUUUCAGACAUGAAGUCUGAAUCAGGCUCUCUUUGGUUGUACUUCUUAAUUCUAAUGUAUUCUUUUAUCUUUAUUCUGAGCUGUAAUAAUUUUGUAAUGAACUCUUGAUGAUG
rnacentral:lncRNA from 1 species